AGAGUUUGAUCCUGGCUCAGAUUGAACGCUGGCGGCGUGCCUAACACAUGCAAGUCGAGCGGUAACAGGUGUAGCAAUACAUGCUGACGAGCGGCGGACGGGUGAGUAACGCUUGGGAAUCUGCCUAUUAGUGGGGGACAACCCGGGGAAACUCGGGCUAAUACCGCAUACGAUCUACGGAUGAAAGCCGGGGACCGCAAGGCCUGGCGCUAAUAGAUGAGCCCAAGUCGGAUUAGCUAGUUGGUGGGGUAAAGGCCUACCAAGGCGACGAUCCGUAACUGGUCUGAGAGGACGACCAGUCGCACCGGAACUGAGACACGGUCCGGACUCCUACGGGAGGCAGCAGUGGGGAAUAUUGGACAAUGGGGGGAACCCUGAUCCAGCCAUGCCGCGUGUGUGAAGAAGGCCUUAUGGUUGUAAAGCACUUUAAGCGAGGAGGAGGCUACUGAGACUAAUACUCUUGGAUAGUGGACGUUACUCGCAGAAUAAGCACCGGCUAACUCUGUGCCAGCAGCCGCGGUAAUACAGAGGGUGCGAGCGUUAAUCGGAUUUACUGGGCGUAAAGCGUGCGUAGGCGGCUUUUUAAGUCGGAUGUGAAAUCCCCGAGCUUAACUUGGGAAUUGCAUUCGAUACUGGGAAGCUAGAGUAUGGGAGAGGAUGGUAGAAUUCCAGGUGUAGCGGUGAAAUGCGUAGAGAUCUGGAGGAAUACCGAUGGCGAAGGCAGCCAUCUGGGCCUAAUACUGACGCUGAGGUACGAUAGCAUGGGGAGCAAACAGGAAUUAGAUACACUGUAGUCCAUGCCCUAAACGAUGUCGACUAGCCUUUGCGCCUUUGAGGUUUUAGGGUGCACUAAC
rnacentral:rRNA from 1 species